UAAAGAGGUCCCAAGCGUUGUUCGGAUUUACUGGGCGUAAAGGGUGCGUAGGUGGUUGGGUAAGUUUGAUGUGAAAUCUCCGGGCUUAACCCGGAAAUGGCAUUGAAUACUAUUCGGCUAGAGGUUUGGAGGGGGGACUGGAAUUCUUGGUGUAGCAGUGAAAUGCGUAGAUAUCGUAAGGAAGACCAGUGGCGAAGGCGGGUCUCUGGACAGUUCCUGACGCUGAGGCACGAAGGUCAGGGGAGCAAACGGG
rnacentral:rRNA from 1 species